rnacentral:rRNA from 1 species
GAUGAACGCUGGCGGCGUGCUUAAUACAUGCAAGUCGAGCGAACAGACGAGGCGCUUGUUCCUUUGUCGUUAGCGGCGGACGGGUGAGUAACAUGAGGGACAUCCACCUAUCAGUCUGGGAUAAUUUCGGGAAACCGGCGCUUAUCCCGGAUAAUAUCUCGCACCGCAUUGGUCGUUAGUGAAAGUCGGCUUUUGUAUCACUUCUCGCUGGAUCUGCGCCGUAUUAGCUAGUUGUUAAGGUAACGGGUUACCACGGCUACGAUACGUAGCCGAACGGCGAGGGUGAUAGGCCACACUGGAGCGGAAACACGGUCCAGGGUCCUACGAGAGGCAGCAGUAGGGAAUCUGCCGCAGUAGGCGAGAUCCUGGCGGAGCAACGCCGCGUGAGUGAUAGAGGUCUUCGGAGCGGGAAACUCUGUUAUUAGGGAAAAACAAACGUGUAAGUAGCUGUACACGUCGUGACGGUACCUAGUCAGAAAGCCACGGCUAACUACGUG